UCAAAAUGCUCCCUACCUACAUUCACCUAGGGCCUAAUUGUCUAACGGAGUUCAUUGAUCGUAAAGUUCAUACGAUCGGCUACGAUCAACGAUCAAUCGUAACUUUACAUUGGUAUUGUCUAAUUUAGUUCAUUAUAUGAAGACCGGAUGGUGAACGAUGAACUGAAAUCAUUCAUGAAGAUUGCGUAUUGUUUAUGCAAAACGAUAGUGAAACUAUCGUUAAUAAUAUUAUCAAAUUUAAGUCAAACUCCAUAUUAAUGCAUAUAUUUUAACAAAGUUAUAUGUCUUUUGUUUAAAACAUUAAAGAAGCAUUAAAUUUCACGAAAAAUAUCUACUAUUGAAGAAAAUAGCGUGAGAAAAUGGUACAUGCAACUCAAGUAACAAAACGCAAUUAACGAAUUUAACCAAGGGCUAUUUGGACUAUUUGGUAAUCUCCCUGUUGUCUGUGUAGGCUAGUGUCAAAAUAACGGGGUAUCCUAUUAGUCUGUGGUGAAACAUAGCAUAUUAAUAACCUGUGGAUUAGAAAUUUUAAUUUAACAAAACAAAACAAAAUUUUUAUUUUUCAGGUUUUAAAGAGAAUUUAGAAAUUGAGCAAAGUUUUACUAAAUUAUAGUGAUCUUAGGAGCAAAGUUUACUUCGUUUGUGUUAUUGUUAAUCAAAAAUAUAAAAGUAAACAAAAAAGAAAACUACCUCUAUCUAAUUUUGUCGAUGUCCAUUUCUUAAGAAGUUUCUCAUUAAAACAACCCUUAACUCAGGCAAGGCAGGGCUAAGGUGGUUAGCGUAACUACAAGUGGUUAACUUACAGUUAGCCAACUGAAGAACAAUCAACAAUGCCCGAUUAAUAAGUGAUCGCGCUGCUUGUCUACUACAUGUCCCUGCACUAGUUAUAGCAGUAAUUUCUUUGUUGGGAAGUAUUUAGCACAUCCUGGCUGCGCAAAAGGAGAGGACUAAAUUGAUUAUUAUGAACAGACCAUUAUGAUGAACCACUGAUAUUGACUCAGAGACAUGAAGAUGAGUGCUUUGACAACAAGACUGACUAGCUGAGCCAGCUUAAGAAUUAUGUGGUGUGUGUGUGUGUGUGUCUAAUUCCAGGAGCUCUCUAUGUCAGCCAUCCAUCUAUAUUCUUACUCAUUUUUGUUAAUUAUAAAAUAAAUUUGAUUAUUUAGU